UCCCUGGUGGUCUAGUGGUUAGGAUUUGGUGCUCUUACCACCAUGGCCUGGGUUCGAUUCCUGGUCAGGGAG